CAAGCUUCUGUUGCCAGGAGGGUCUCUCAACAGUCUCCCUCCUCGAAGCAUCUGUGAACUCCAGCAGCUCAAAUGGACUAAGGCAGUGCUUUACCAAAGACCAGACUGUCCUUCCUUACGUGACCAUUCCUCCACAUCAGAGACCCCUGUCUUUGAGGACAACAACAGGGAGAGUUUAAGUCAAAUUAAGAUGGACAGAGAAAGAUCUGAGAGGAGCCUCUGCCAGGCCAGUGGGGCCAGAGCCAUCGGGGAAGCUGUGAGCAGACGCGGUGAGGUGGCUGCACCCUGGCACAGCAUGUGACGUCUGCCGUCUGACAAGCAAUAUUCUCACAGAGGCCACCAGGACGGUCCCCUUCUCAACAGCCUCCAACUCAGCUCCACUGCUAGGAGACUCUAACGCAAUCCUUCCCGGUGCCAGCCGAUGAGUCUGUCUCUGACAUGAAACCCUUCAGGUAGUGAGGGUCACAGAAACUAACAGAGCUCUGCAUGGUGGCAGACACACACUAUCUACACGGCCCAACAUGUGUACACAGCCCAACAACUGGCUACAUGUGGCUCUAUGAGCCGGGACCACCGAGACUCUCCUUUUAAAGCUUUUAUUCAGUUUAAUCACUUGAGCAACAAUGUGUGGUUCAUGGCUUAUAGGGAGGUCGAGAUGUACAGACCUUUCUUACCACUCCCACGUCAAAACCUUCCCUCCCCCAGGAAGCAGCACUCAUGUCUUCAACAGCAUCUCUGCCAGCGGCCUCUGGAAACUUCUCCAUGCAGUCAGUCCUCUACAGAUGUGUCCUAACCUGCCGAAUCUGUCCCACAACAGGAAAUGAUCGGGCCUGGGAGGCAGCUCGGUAGUAGAGCAAAUAUGAACAAACAUGAAGCCCUGAGCUCAGUCUCCAGCCCAAAAACAACAACAAAUCCAAACUCAAGGGUCGGCAAGAUCACCCAGCAGGUUAAAGGCUCUCGUUCACCUCGCAGCCUGGCGACCUGAGUGUGAUCCCGCAAACCAACCCAAGUAGGAGAGAACUGACUCCCUGAAGUUGUCCUCUCACCUGCACACAUGC